UACGUAGGGUGCAAGCGUUGUCCGGAAUUAUUGGGCGUAAAGAGCUCGUAGGCGGUCUGUUGCGUCCGCUGUGAAAACUCGAGGCUCAACCUCGAGACGCCGGUGGAAACCGUAAGGCUAGAGUCCGGAAGAGGAGAGUGGAAUUCCUGGUGUAGCGGUGAAAUGCGCAGAUAUCAGGAAGAACACCCGUGGCGAAGGCGGCUCUCUGGGACGGUACUGACGCUGAGACGCGAAAGCGUGGGGAGCGAACAGG
rnacentral:rRNA from 1 species